rnacentral:rRNA from 1 species
GUUAUAUGGUCAAGUGAAGAAGCGCAUACGGUGGAUGCCUUGGCAGUCAGAGGCGAUGAAAGACGUGGUAGCCUGCGAAAAGCUUCGGGGAGUCGGCAAACAGACUUUGAUCCGGAGAUCUCUGAAUGGGGGAACCCACCUAGGAUAACCUAGGUAUCUUGUACUGAAUCCAUAGGUGCAAGAGGCGAACCAGGGGAACUGAAACAUCUAAGUACCCUGAGGAAAAGAAAUCAACCGAGAUUCCCUUAGUAGUGGCGAGCGAACGGGGAUUAGCCCUUAAGCUUCAUUGAUUUUAGCGGAACGCUCUGGAAAGUGCGGCCAUAGUGGGUGAUAGCCCCGUACGCGAAAGGAUCUUUGAAGUGAAAUCGAGUAGGACGGAGCACGAGAAACUUUGUCUGAACAUGGGGGGACCAUCCUCCAAGGCUAAAUACUACUGACUGACCGAUAGUGAACCAGUACCGUGAGGGAAAGGCGAAAAGAACCCCGGAGAGGGGAGUGAAAUAGAACCUGAAACCGUAUGCGUACAAGCAGUGGGAGCCUACUUGUUAGGUGACUGCGUACCUUUUGUAUAAUGGGUCAGCGACUUAUAUUCAGUGGCAAGCUUAACCGUAUAGGGUAGGCGUAGCGAAAGCGAGUCUUAAUAGGGCGUUUAGUCGCUGGGUAUAGACCCGAAACCGGGCGAUCUAUCCAUGAGCAGGUUGAAGGUUAGGUAACACUGACUGGAGGACCGAACCCACUCCCGUUGAAAAGGUAGGGGAUGACUUGUGGAUCGGAGUGAAAGGCUAAUCAAGCUCGGAGAUAGCUGGUUCUCCUCGAAAGCUAUUUAGGUAGCGCCUCAUGUAUCACUCUGGGGGGUAGAGCACUGUUUCGGCUAGGGGGUCAUCCCGACUUACCAAACCGAUGCAAACUCCGAAUACCCAGAAGUGCCGAGCAUGGGAGACACACGGCGGGUGCUAACGUCCGUCGUGAAAAGGGAAACAACCCAGACCGCCAGCUAAGGUCCCAAAGUUGUGGUUAAGUGGUAAACGAUGUGGGAAGGCUUAGACAGCUAGGAGGUUGGCUUAGAAGCAGCCACCCUUUAAAGAAAGCGUAAUAGCUCACUAGUCGAGUCGGCCUGCGCGGAAGAUGUAACGGGGCUCAAACCACACACCGAAGCUGCGGGUGUCACGCAAGUGACGCGGUAGAGGAGCGUUCUGUAAGCC